AUUGAACGCUGGCGGCAUGCCUUACACAUGCAAGUCGAACGGCAGCAUGGAAGAGCUUGCUCUUCUGAUGGCGAGUGGCGAACGGGUGAGUAAAGCAUCGGAACGUACCGUGUAGUGGGGGAUAACGUAGCGAAAGUUACGCUAAUACCGCAUACGCACUGAGGUGGAAAGCAGGGGAUCGCAAGACCUUGCGCUAUACGAGCGGCCGAUGUCAGAUUAGCUAGUUGGUAGGUAAAGGGGGGGCCUACCAAGGCGACGAUCUGUAGCGGGUCUGAGAGGAUGAUCCGCCACACUGGGACUGAGACACGGCCCAGACUCCUACCGGGAGGCAGCA
rnacentral:rRNA from 1 species